rnacentral:rRNA from 1 species
CCUACGGGAUGCACCAGUGGGGAAUAUUGGACAAUGGGCGAAAGCCUGAUCCAGCAAUGCCGCGUGUGAAGAAGGUCCUCGGAUUGUAAAGCACUUUCGACGGGGACGAUGAUGACGGUACCCGUAGAAGAAGCCCCGGCUAACUUCGUGCCAGCAGCCGCGGUAAUACGAAGGGGGCUAGCGUUGCUCGGAGUGACUGGGCGUAAAGGGCGCGUAGGCGGUUUAUGCAGUCAGAUGUGAAAGCCCCGGGCUUAACCUGGGAACUGCAUUUGAGACGCAUAGACUAGAGGUCGAGAGAGGGUUGUGGAAUUCCCAGUGUAGAGGUGAAAUUCGUAGAUAUUGGGAAGAACACCGGUGGCGAAGGCGGCAACCUGGCUCGAUACUGACGCUGAGGCGCGAAAGCGUGGGGAGCAAACAGGAUUAGAUACCCGGGUAGUC